GAUGAACGCUGGCGGCGUGCUUAACACAUGCAAGUCGAACGAUGAAGCCCAGCUUGCUGGGUGGAUUAGUGGCGAACGGGUGAGUAACACGUGAGUAACCUGCCCUUAACUCUGGGAUAAGCCUGGGAAACUGGGCCUAAUACCGGAUAGGAGCGUCCACCGCAUGGUGGGUGUUGGAAAGAUUUAUCGGUUUUGGAUGGACUCGCGGCCUAUCAGCUUGUUGGUGAGGUAAUGGCUCACCAAGGCGACGACGGGUAGCCGGCCUGAGAGGGUGACCGGCCACACUGGGACUGAGACACGGCCCAGACUCCUACGGGAGGCAGCAGUGGGGAAUAUUGCACAAUGGGCGCAAGCCUGAUGCAGCGACGCUGCGUGAGGGAUGACGGCCUUCGGGUUGUAAACCUCUUUCAGUAGGGAAGAAGCGAAAGUGACGGUACCUGCAGAAGAAGCACCGGCUAACUACGUG
rnacentral:rRNA from 1 species